rnacentral:tRNA from 1 species
GGGACCGUGGUGUAGUAGGAGUAAGCGUGAUUGCCUCUCACCCAGUCGGCCUGGGUUCGAUCCCAGACGGUCCCG